GAGACAAGGUCUUGCUGUGCGGCUCCAGCUGGCCUGGAACUGUCCAUCCUCCUGCCUCCACCCCCUGACUGCUGGAGUGUGUUCCACUUCCUGAGAAACCUGGCAACCGUUUCCCAAAGUGACUGUACCGUUUCCAGUGCCCAAGCGCGAAGGGACUGUGACUGCAGUGUCCCCACCCAAGCCCUGACCUUUUCUCUGCCUGGGACCAAGCAGGGGGUUUUGGGUCCCUGAAUGAGGUUAGCAUGGCCUGGCCCAGGAGAAGAAGGCAGAGGUGUCUAUUUAUACCCGAGUUCAAGCAGAUACAGUGUCGCCUGGAACUGUCACCAUUUCCUCCUCGCUCAGUGCCACCACCCCGGGAGUGUUCUCAAACAGAGCUACAGCUGAGACGGCAGCAUCACCCCGCUCCUGCCUGCUGCUGCCCCCCCCCUCCUGCCUGCUGCUGCCCCCCCCCCCAGCCCCCUAAAGGAAACCGGGACACCCAGUGCCUCUUCUUCCAAGCGCUCCCUUCCCAUCAGCUCAGGCUGGUGACUGAGGGGACCACAUGGACUGGAGAACUUCGCCUCUGGACUGUCGGUGUCCCACCCAGCUCUUGCUCCCCUGCGUGACCCACUGGUCCACUUGGGCAUCAGCAAAGCCUUUUGUGUGUGUUCAGACACAUUGCUAAUGGCUCCAAGGCUCCCUGGAAUGUUUACACUGGUGGUUGUCUGGAUCAAGGCUGCCUGCAUCGAGUCCGUCCAAACUGUGAAGUGCCCUUCCUGAGACAUCAGCUUCCCUUGAGUCAAUGAGACUGGUAGAGAACAGUGUCUUCAAGGAAGGUUCUGGGGCCUGGGGCUCACCUCUCACAGAAAGCUCAGUUGUGGAUCUCUGAGCCUGCUACGGGUCUUUAUUAUCAUUUUAUUUCGCCCUUCAGGAAGAACCACCCAUUACAAAUUAAAGUAAAUGAACCGAGAAGACCUCCGUCGGUGAUGCAGAUGCCACCAAACGCAAAGAUCUUCAGAGAGACAGAGCUGAGCCUGCCACCACCCAUCAAAGCUCUGGCUGUCUCUGUCAUCCUCAAGACGCUUGCAGUGCCCCACCCCCUCCCAGCCUGAGCCACCUGGCUUCCUUCAGCGGCUCAGCAGCCUAUUGUCAUUUCCCGUCGUCGCAAUUCAAGUUCCUCGGGUUCCGAAAGCAUGCCACAGCCAGGCAGCCCCCACCCCCAGCCUCCUCCUGGCCACCUCUGCCUUUUGGUGGGGUCAGCUCCACUGUCUGCUGCAUCGUGUCAAAGCAGGGCCUCCCGUCCACACCCCUCCCUCUCCUCCGGGCCACUCCCUUCUUGCUGAGGGUCUCUCUUCUCGUCAGAUCUCCUUCUUGACUCUUGCUCUGGGGCUGACCUUGUCUGUAUGACCUAAAUAUUCUGGAAGGGGCACUGCUGGGCAUCUAGGCACUGGGGUGAGACUCCCAUCAUGCUUGGGAGUUUCCACAGCCUUUGUUUACCCUGGUCAUUCUUUUUUUUUCUUUCUCAAGAUGGGAAACUAGACAAGAAGAGAAAGACAAGCCUGCCCUUACAGGCCCUACUGUCAGCCCUUGCAGGCCCUUCCGCCCUUGCAGGCCCUACUGUCAGCCCUUGCAGGCCCUACUGUCUACCCUCCCGCCCCCAUCUCCAACAACUUGCCUCCUGAUAGAAGGAUUAAAGUCAGGCUUGGUUCUUCACAAUCCACCCACGGGGAUGAACUGUUGUGGGUCCCUGGUGGGCAGGACGGCAUCCCUUGGUGUGUGGAAGGUGGUUACUCUGGCUGUAAUCUCAUCUUUGACCUUUAGCUGUCCCUCAGAACCCUCACCUCUCUACCGGACAGGCCCCAGAGAACAAUGAGCUCCCCGGGGAGCUGAGGUUAUCACCCCGCUGUGUUCUGGCUUGCUCGGUCUCGGAUCUUCCCCGCAGUCAACUCUAGCUUUAUCCUCCCUUUUGACCAAGGGUUCCUGUCUAGUUCUGGUGGCAUCCAGCCCUCUGACUUCCCAAAUGGACACCAAUAUGGCUCAUCCACCGGGAUGCUCCUGUCCUGCCAACACCGGCUGUCCUCACAAGGCUCUUGGCCUGUUCCCCAGGGAAGCCAGGCUGCACAAACCCAGGGAGAGCCUGGAAGAAACCAGCCACCCCCAGGGCUGGUCAUGCCAAUGAGGGCGGAUGUCAAGACGUUGCCGUCAGACUCCAGGGACUCUGGUUCCGUAGGUGGUCCACCCACCUGGUGUUACUCGACUGCCAGUCCUGUGUGGACAGGCCCGUGGAGUCCUCUGUACCUAAGCUACAUGGGUUCCCCAAAGAGUGUAUAUGGAAUAAACUGAGCAAAUUUUCCUUUA